UACGUAGGGUGCAAGCGUUGUCCGGAAUUAUUGGGCGUAAAGAGCUCGUAGGCGGUUUGGCAAGUCGGGUGUGAAAACUCCGGGCUCAACUCGGAGACGCCACUCGAUACUGCUAUGACUCGAGUCCGGUAGGGGAGUGCGGAAUUCCUGGUGUAGCGGUGAAAUGCGCAGAUAUCAGGAGGAACACCGGUGGCGAAGGCGGCACGUCUGGGCCGGAACUGACGCUGAGGCAGCGAAAGCGUGGGGAGCGAACAGG
rnacentral:rRNA from 1 species